rnacentral:lncRNA from 1 species
AUGCAUGUGGAACAGUUAGUGACCCGGCCAAGGCCAAGGCCACACAGCCAGGAGGACAGCCUGGCUCCUCCGACUCCAAAGCCGGUGGGCAUGGGGACGUGUGUGUAUGUGCGUGUGUGUGUGUCUGUCUCAGCAGAUGGCACUGGGUGUGUGUGUGUGUGUGCGUGUGUGUGUGUGCGUGUGUGUGUCUCAGCAGACGGCACUAGGGGUGUAUGUGUGUGUGUGUCUGUCUCAGCAGAUGGCACUGGGUAUGUGUGUGCGUGCGUGUGUGUGUCUCAGCAGACUGCACUGGGUGCGUGUGUGUGCGUGUGUGUGUGUGCGUAUGUGUGUCUCAGCAGAUGGCAUUGGGGUGUGUGUGUCUGUCUGAGCAGAUUGCACUGGUGGGGUAUGUGUGUGUGUGUCUCAGCAGACAGCACUGGGGGCGUGUGUGUGUGUGUGUGUCUGUCUCAGCAGACGGCACGGUGUGUGUGUGUGUGUGUGUGUGUGUCUGUGUCAGCAGACGGCACUGGGGGCGUGUGUGCAUGUGUGUGUGUGUAUGUGUCUCAGCAGACGGCACUGGGUGUGCGUGUGUGUGUGUGUGUCUGUCUCAGCAGAUGGCACAGGGUGUGUGUGUGUGUGUGUGUGUGUGUCUGUCUGUCUCAGCAGAUGGCACUGGGGGCCUGUGCUGAUACAGGCCCUGAUGCCAGAGUGGUGAUGGGUGAUGGGAAAGGGAGCUUGUCCCGGAGGCAGCAAGGACGGCUUCCUGUAGGAGGUGUCAGCCGCAUCGAGGGCCAGGCUGGGAGCUCGGCAGCCACCGGUCCACCUCCAGACAGAGAAACCCCAGGCAGGCGGCUGCAGGGAGCCGGCCACGCGCCACAGCCUCGGCUCACACCCCGGCUGCCUUCCAACCAGGGGCUGCUCCCCGCACUGGGUGGCAGGUGCCGUCACUUGCCGUCCUAGGCACGUCUGUGCCAGCGUGGGCUGGCUAGGGAGGCUGCGUCGCAGGUCCUUGUAGUGACAAGCUCACGAAGUGCUGAGUAUUAGGUGGGGCACAGACAGCCAUUAAGAAUGGAAUUGUUCAUAACUCAGAUUUGCAAAAUCCAAGUCCGUCCAUCCAUCCACCCAUCCACCCAUCCACUCAUCCACCCACCCAUCCACCCAUGCACCCACCCAUCCACCCAUCCACCCAUCCAUCCACCCAUCCACCCAUCCACCCAUUCAUCUUCCCAUCCAUCCACCCACCUAUCUAUCAACCCACCCAUCCGUUCAGGCAUCUUCUCUCCCAUCCAUCACCCACCCAUCCAUGUUCUCAUCUAUCAUCCAUCCAUCCAUCCAUCUCCCAGCCCCUCCUGGUCACAGGCACAGUCCCAGACCUUGGAGCUCCAGACACCUUCCCAGGAUCAACCCAGUGCCCCCCUUUCCUGAAGGGACCCCAUUUCUGGUGUUCGCUGUAAAGUGACCAGGCGGAGUGGGAGUGGGCAGGCCGGCACCCCUGCCGCACUCCUUGCUCUCCCAGCCUGGCUUGUCGGGGCUCAUGGUCCCCCAGCUCCCUCCCAGGAAGCCCCUCAGAGGACACACGGCUCCCAGUCUGGCUGGCUGCCUGGGCCCUGCAGCCCCUGCCCUCCUGCUUAGUGCCUGUGGGGGUUCUGUGCCUGACUCCCCUGCCAGGGCCAGCCCGGGGACGUGGGCCUGGUGCAGGCUGGCAAUAGUCAUUGGGUCUUUGCUGAGCAGCCUUGGAAGCAGGAGCAGAGCCAUGGAAGCUCUUGGCAGCAGGUGCCCUGUCCGGUGUCCUGCAGCCCACAGAGACCGCCUGAUUGGGACAAAGGUUGUCCUGGGCUUUCAUCCUGGAGAGGUGGGGCUCCCUGACCCUGCGUUGACGCUAGGGGUGGGGCAGCCUCACCUCCACCGUGGGACUCGAGGAAGCCGACACGCCGGGGGAGGUGUCUUGCCAGGGGGCCGC